rfam:Polaribacter atrinae strain KACC 17473 LPB303_71, whole genome shotgun sequence.
AUUAAUUAUCAAGAAUCUCAAAAAAAGGAGAUAGCAACCUGCAAUAACGAGCAAGGUGCUAAAUAGAUAAGCCAAUUAAUUGGAACCAAUGUUAACUCA